rnacentral:rRNA from 1 species
ACUGAACGCUGGCGGCAGGCCUAACACAUGCAAGUCGAGCGGUAGAGAGGUGCUUGCACCUCUUGAGAGCGGCGGACGGGUGAGUAAUGCCUAGGAAUCUGCCUGGUAGUGGGAGAUAACGCUCGGAAACGGACGCUAAUACCGCAUACGUCCUACGGGAGAAAGCAGGGGACCUUCGGGCCUUGCGCUAUCAGAUGAGCCUAGGUCGGAUUAGCUAGUUGGUGAGGUAAUGGCUCAUCAAGGCGACGAUCCGUAACUGGUCUGAGAGGAUGAUCAGUCACACUGGAACUGAGACACGGUCCAGACUCCUACGGGAGGCAGCAGUGGGGAAUAUUGGACAAUGGGCGAAAGCCUGAUCCAGCCAUGCCGCGUGUGUGAAGAAGGUCUUCGGAUUGUAAAGCACUUUAAGUUGGGAGGAAGGGUCGUUACCUAAUACGUGACGAUUUUGACGUUACCGACAGAAUAAGCACCGGCUAACUCUGUGCCAGCAGCCGCCGUAAAAC